GCAAGCCUACGACUAGUGCAACAGAGAGCAAACCGCCGAUGGCCUGUUUACAGGAUCAGGUAAGGGUGAAAGGGUGCGGUAAGAGCGCACCGCGCGACUGGCAACAGUUCGUGGCACGGUAAACUCCACCCGGAGCAAGACCAAAUAGGGGUUCAUAUGGUGCGGCCCGCAUUGAACUCGGGUAGGUUGCUGGAGCCAGUGCGCAA
rnacentral:RNase_P_RNA from 1 species